GGCGAACGGGUGAGUAACACGUGGGUGAUCUGCCCUGCACUCUGGGAUAAGCCUGGGAAACUGGGUCUAAUACCGGAUAGGACCAUGCUUUAGUGUGUGUGGUGGAAAGUUUUUUCGGUGUAGGAUGAGCCCGCGGCCUAUCAGCUUGUUGGUGGGGUAAUGGCCUACCAAGGCGACGACGGGUAGCCGGACUGAGAGGUUGGUCGGCCACAUUGGGACUGAGAUACGGCCCAG
rnacentral:rRNA from 1 species